rnacentral:rRNA from 1 species
AGUUAAGUUAGAAAGGGCGCACGGUGGAUGCCUUGGCACUAGGAGCCGAUGAAGGACGGGAUUAACACCGAUAUGCUUUGGGGAGCUGUAAGUAAGCUUUGAUCCAGAGAUUUCCGAAUGGGGAAACCCUCUAUCCGUAAUGGGAUAGAAUCUUUACCUGAAUACAUAGGGUACUGAAGGCAGACCCGGGGAACUGAAACAUCUAAGUACCCGGAGGAAGAGAAAGCAAACGCGAUUCCCUGAGUAGCGGCGAGCGAAACGGGAUUAGCCCAAACCAAGAGGCUUGCCUCUUGGGGUUGUAGGACACUCUAUAUGGAGUUACAAAGGAACGGGGUAGACGAAUCGAUCUGGAAAGGUCAGUCGUAGAAGGUAAAAACCCUGUAGUCGAAACUUCGUUCCCUCUUGAGUGUAUCCUGAGUACGGCGGGACACGAGAAAUCCCGUCGGAAGCAGGGAGGACCAUCUCCCAAGGCUAAAUACUCCCUAGUGACCGAUAGUGAACCAGUACCGUGAGGGAAAGGUGAAAAGCACCCCGGAAGGGGAGUGAAAUAGAUCCUGAAACCGUGUGCCUACAAGUAGUUAGAGCCCUUUUAUGGGUGAUAGCGUGCCUUUUGUAGAAUGAACCGGCGAGUUACGAUUACAUGCGAGGUUAAGUUGAAGAGACGGAGCCGCAGCGAAAGCGAGUCUGAAUAGGGCGAAAUAGUAUGUGGUUGUAGACCCGAAACCAGGUGAUCUACCCAUGUCCAGGGUGAAGUCCAGGUAACACUGGAUGGAGGCCCGAACCCACGCACGUUGAAAAGUGCGGGGAUGAGGUGUGGGUAGCGGAGAAAUUCCAAUCGAACUUGGAGAUAGCUGGUUCUCUCCGAAAUAGCUUUAGGGCUAGCCUCAAGAUUUAGAGUAUUGGAGGUAGAGCACUGUUUGGACUAGGGGCCCCCAUCGGGUUACCGAAUUCAGACAAACUCCGAAUGCCAAAUACUUAUUCUUGGGAGUCAGACUACGAGUGAUAAGAUCCGUGGUCAAGAGGGAAACAGCCCAGACCACCAGCUAAGGUCCCAAAGUAUACGUUAAGUGGAAAAGGAUGUGGAGUUGCUUAGACAACCAGGAUGUUGGCUUAGAAGCAGCCACCAUUUAAAGAGUGCGUAAUAGCUCACUGGUCGAGUGACUCUGCGCCGAAAAUGUACCGGGGCUAAACGUAUCACCGAAGCUGUGGAUUGACAUCUUUGAUGUCAGUGGUAGGAGAGCGUUCUAAGGGCGUUGAAGCUAGACCGUAAGGACUGGUGGAGCGCUUAGAAGUGAGAAUGCCGGUAUGAGUAGCGAAAGAUGAGUGAGAAUCUCAUCCACCGAAUGCCUAAGGUUUCCUGAGGAAGGCUCGUCCGCUCAGGGUUAGUCGGGACCUAAGCCGAGGCUGAAAAGCGUAGGCGAUGGACAACAGGUUGAUAUUCCUGUACCACCUUUAAAUCGUUUGAGCAAUGGGGGGACGCAGGAGGAUAGGGUAAGCGUGCUGUUGGAUUAGCACGUCCAAGCAGUUAGGCUGGUAAUGAGGCAAAUCCCAUUACCACAUAAGCGGAGCUGUGACGGCGAGGGAAAUAUAGUACCGAAGUUCCUGAUUCCACACUGCCAAGAAAAGCCUCUAGCGAGAUUUAGGGUGCCCGUACCGCAAACCGACACAGGUAGGCGAGGAGAGAAUCCUAAGGUGAGCGAGAGAACUCUCGUUAAGGAACUCGGCAAAAUGACCCCGUAACUUCGGGAGAAGGGGUGCUCUUGCGGGUGCAAGCCUGCGAGAGCCGCAGUGAAUAGGCCCAGGCGACUGUUUAGCAAAAACACAGGUCUCUGCGAAGCCGCAAGGCGAAGUAUAGGGGCUGACACCUGCCCGGUGCUGGAAGGUUAAGAGGAGGGGUUAGCACGUUAGUGCGAAGCUCUGAAUUGAAGCCCCAGUAAACGGCGGCCGUAACUAUAACGGUCCUAAGGUAGCGAAAUUCCUUGUCGGGU